AGCGGCGGACGGGUGAGUAAUGCAUAGGAAUCUACCCGAUAGUGGGGGAUAACCUGGGGAAACCCAGGCUAAUACCGCAUACGUCCUACGGGAGAAAGGGGGCUCCGGCUCCCGCUAUGGGAUGAGCCUAUGUCGGAUUAGCUAGUUGGUGAGGUAACGGCUCACCAAGGCGACGAUCCGUAGCUGGUCUGAGAGGAUGAUCAGCCACAUCGGGACUGAGACACGGCCCGAACUCCUACGGGAGGCAGCAGUGGGGAAUAUUGGACAAUGGGGGAAACCCUGAUCCAGCCAUGCCGCGUGUGUGAAGAAGGCCCUCGGGUUGUAAAGCACUUUCAGCGAGGAAGAACGCCUAGCGGUUAAUACUCGCUAGGAAAGACAUCACUCGCAGAAGAAGCACCGGCUAACUCCGUGCCAGCAGCCGCGGUAAUACGGAGGGUGCAAGCGUUAAUCGGAAUUACUGGGCGUAAAGCGCGCGUAGGUGGCUUGAUAAGCCGGUUGUGAAAGCCCCGGGCUCAACCUGGGAACGGCAUCCGGAACUGUCAAGCUAGAGUGCAGGAGAGGAAGGUAGAAUUCCCGGUGUAGCGGUGAAAUGCGUAGAGAUCGGGAGGAAUACCAGUGGCGAAGGCGGUCUUCUGGACUGACACUGACACUGAGGUGCGAAGCGUGGGUUAGCAAACAGGAUUAGAUACCCUGGUAGUCCC
rnacentral:rRNA from 1 species